AAGAUCAGUGAUGACAAUGUGUCAUGAACCAAGGAUUAUAAUUAAUCCAACUCUGUACAAUUAGGUUUUAA
rnacentral:snoRNA from 10 species